AAAAAAAUGUCACACGUUAACAAAAAUUUGUUGUGUCUAAAUUGGUAUUGUAAGAAUCAGGUCCCAGAAUACCAGAUAAUAAAUAUUCUACAAAACAACUUCAUCAAUAAAGAAAACUAAACUUCUUGAUUUAUUCAGUUGUAACCUACAAAACUUAACUCAAUGGAUACAUUCAUUCCCACAAGCUACGAUUUUGCUCACAGGCGAUGAUAAGCAAACAAUAGUAUCUCUUGCAAGGUUAACCCAAAUGCGUAUCUCCAAGAACCAAAGGCAAAAGUUCACCCUAUUCUCAGCUUUUGUAAUAUGAACAUAAUUUAGCCCAUCUGGACUGGAUCCAGGAGUCCAGGAGGCUGGACAGAAUUUAACACAAAAAAGUACAUCACCCUGCACAUCUUGCCGAAUUUUAUUUCAAUUUCUGCAAGCAUUCAGCAUUCUCGCAGUUACUGUCCAUCACCCAACGUACCAAGUUUUCUGCAUAGCAUAAUACAAUACUUAAAUAUCAAGCCAACUGACACAGACAGAGAGAGAGAGAGAGAAAUAACUAACCUUUCUUAUUUCAAAUACAAUUAUGUAAUAAUUUUAUGUAGUCUGAGGGGGAAAAAGGUAGAGAUUUUAGGAAUAUCCUAGCUAGGAAAAGAAGUAAAUAUAUAUAUUCUGGAGCAUACCGAGAGAGAGAGUUAGGAUGCUCAAUACACAUACAUUUCAUCCACCACAUUACAUUUUUCCUUGUCAGGAAUAAGCGGAUGUCCUUGAACAUUAUUUGUAACAUUGGGGAAUUAAGAAUUACACAAACAAGAUCAUUGAGAUUUAAGUGGUAAAAGCAAUUUUUUAAUAGGGAUACAUAAGAUUCCAGCUUUCAAUUUGAAAAACAUGCUGAUUCAUCUGUACUUCUAACACAUCAUAUAACAGCAAAAAUGCAUAAAUUAGCUUUGGAAUACCCAAUGCAACAUUUUCCUACCUUACCACAAAAAGACCCCCAGCCCCAGCCCCUUUCCCUAGUUAAAUUGCCUCAGAUGAAUGCAUCAGUGCCAAGAAACAUAGAUGUCAGCCAACAACAUUUCUAUACCAGGAACUGACGUUUAUGUUUAGAAUAAGGGCAUCAGCCUCCUUACUUCAGUUUAUGUACCAAGCCCUGUUUGAGAGCUUAAACUCCAUUUAAUAGGAAAACCAGAAAGGGUAAGAACUAAGAAGAUGUGAAACAGUGGAGUAUGAUUUGCUAUUUUGCUUUGGUACAGAUAAUGGAAUGGGAAAAAGGCGUUCAAGAGGAAAGGUAUAAUCUGCCUUCCUGUGGAUUUACCAAGAAAGAAAAUCUUUCUGUAUAAGAAAAUCUUUCUGUAUGCAAUUUCUCCGCUAAUUUUCGAGCAAAUGGGAAAGUGAGCUCCUACAUAUGAGAGUAUGAGUCAACUUAUAUGCCUGUUAAUUCCCCUAAUAUUAUAUGCAAAGCCAGUUUGACCAUCUGAUAUAAUUUAGGGAACAAUAUCAGUAGCAGCUGAAACUUGUACUUGAAGGAGUGAAUUUUAUUAUGCAUCACCACCAGAAAAUUUGGCAAACACAUGCAGACCAAAAAUAUUCAAUAUAAUAUAGAAGGUAAGUAGUUUGAAUAAAGUUAAUAUAAAACAAAAUGGAGAAGAAGAAAGGAGUGAAUACACAUUAGAAAAUAUGUGAGUUCACUCGAAGAAGAAGGUGGAAAACCAAAGAGGUUUCAAGGUUACAAGGCUCAAUAAAAAAUCUUUAUUUGCAUGUAAAACAAAAAAUGAUUUAUGGAUGACAGCACCUCUUUUAGGAUUAAAGAAACAGAUUUUGAUAACAAAGAAGAAAGAGAGUGAAGGAUGAGGUAUCCUUUUCUCAAGGAAAUAAA
rnacentral:misc_RNA from 1 species